rnacentral:rRNA from 1 species
GACGAACGCUGGCGGCGUGCUUAACACAUGCAGGUCGAACGCUGAAGCUCAGCUUGCUGGGUGGAUGAGUGGCGAACGGGUGAGUAACACGUGAGUAACCUGCCCUCUUCUUUGGGAUAACGCCCGGAAACGGGUGCUAAUACUGGAUAUUCACUGAUUCUCGCCUGGGGGUUGGUGGAAAGGUUUUUUCUGGUGGGGGAUGGGCUCGCGGCCUAUCAGCUUGUUGGUGGGGUGAUGGCCUACCAAGGCUUUGACGGGUAGCCGGCCUGAGAGGGUGACCGGUCACAUUGGGACUGAGAUACGGCCCAGACUCCUACGGGAGGCAGCAGUGGGGAAUAUUGCACAAUGGGCGAAAGCCUGAUGCAGCGACGCCGCGUGAGGGAUGGAGGCCUUCGGGUUGUAAACCUCUUUCGCUCAUGGUCAAGCCGCAGCUUUGGGUUGUGGUGAGGGUAGUGGGUAAAGAAGCGCCGGCUAACUACGUG